rnacentral:rRNA from 1 species
GGGUUGUGAGGUUAAGCGACUAAGCGUACACGGUGGAUGCCCUGGCAGUCAGAGGCGAUGAAGGACGUGCUAAUCUGCGAUAAGCGUCGGUAAGGUGAUAUGAACCGUUAUAACCGGCGAUUUCCGAAUGGGGAAACCCAGUGUGAUUCGUCACACUAUCAUUAACUGAAUCCAUAGGUUAAUGAGGCGAACCGGGGGAACUGAAACAUCUAAGUACCCCGAGGAAAAGAAAUCAACCGAGAUUCCCCCAGUAGCGGCGAGCGAACGGGGAGCAGCCCAGAGCCUGAAUCAGUGUGUGUGUUAGUGGAAGCGUCUGGAAAGGCGCGCGAUACAGGGUGACAGCCCCGUACACAAAAAUGCACAUGCUGUGAGCUCGAUGAGUAGGGCGGGACACGUGGUAUCCUGUCUGAAUAUGGGGGGACCAUCCUCCAAGGCUAAAUACUCCUGACUGACCGAUAGUGAACCAGUACCGUGAGGGAAAGGCGAAAAGAACCCCGGCGAGGGGAGUGAAAAAGAACCUGAAACCGUGUACGUACAAGCAGUGGGAGCACGCUUAGGCGUGUGACUGCGUACCUUUUGUAUAAUGGGUCAGCGACUUAUAUUCUGUAGCAAGGUUAACCGAAUAGGGGAGCCGAAGGGAAACCGAGUCUUAACUGGGCGUUAAGUUGCAGGGUAUAGACCCGAAACCCGGUGAUCUAGCCAUGGGCAGGUUGAAGGUUGGGUAACACUAACUGGAGGACCGAACCGACUAAUGUUGAAAAAUUAGCGGAUGACUUGUGGCUGGGGGUGAAAGGCCAAUCAAACCGGGAGAUAGCUGGUUCUCCCCGAAAGCUAUUUAGGUAGCGCCUCGUGAACUCAUCUCCGGGGGUAGAGCACUGUUUCGGCAAGGGGGUCAUCCCGACUUACCAACCCGAUGCAAACUGCGAAUACCGGAGAAUGUUAUCACGGGAGACACACGGCGGGUGCUAACGUCCGUCGUGAAGAGGGAAACAACCCAGACCGCCAGCUAAGGUCCCAAAGUCAUGGUUAAGUGGGAAACGAUGUGGGAAGGCCCAGACAGCCAGGAUGUUGGCUUAGAAGCAGCCAUCAUUUAAAGAAAGCGUAAUAGCUCACUGGUCGAGUCGGCCUGCGCGGAAGAUGUAACGGGGCUAAACCAUGCACCGAAGCUGCGGCAGCGACGCUUAUGCGUUGUUGGGUAGGGGAGCGUUCUGUAAGCCUGUGAAGGUGUGCUGUGAGGCAUGCUGGAGGUAUCAGAAGUGCGAAUGCUGACAUAAGUAACGAUAAAGCGGGUGAAAAGCCCGCUCGCCGGAAGACCAAGGGUUCCUGUCCAACGUUAAUCGGGGCAGGGUGAGUCGACCCCUAAGGCGAGGCCGAAAGGCGUAGUCGAUGGGAAACAGGUUAAUAUUCCUGUACUUGGUGUUACUGCGAAGGGGGGACGGAGAAGGCUAUGUUGGCCGGGCGACGGUUGUCCCGGUUUAAGCGUGUAGGCUGGUUUUCCAGGCAAAUCCGGAAAAUCAAGGCUGAGGCGUGAUGACGAGGCACUACGGUGCUGAAGCAACAAAUGCCCUGCUUCCAGGAAAAGCCUCUAAGCAUCAGGUAACAUCAAAUCGUACCCCAAACCGACACAGGUGGUCAGGUAGAGAAUACCAAGGCGCUUGAGAGAACUCGGGUGAAGGAACUAGGCAAAAUGGUGCCGUAACUUCGGGAGAAGGCACGCUGAUAUGUAGGUGAAGCGACUUGCUCGUGGAGCUGAAAUCAGUCGAAGAUACCAGCUGGCUGCAACUGUUUAUUAAAAACACAGCACUGUGCAAACACGAAAGUGGACGUAUACGGUGUGACGCCUGCCCGGUGCCGGAAGGUUAAUUGAUGGGGUUAGCGCAAGCGAAGCUCUUGAUCGAAGCCCCGGUAAACGGCGGCCGUAACUAUAACGGUCCUAAGGUAGCGAAAUUCCUUGUCGGGUAAGUUCCGACCUGCACGAAUGGCGUAAUGAUGGCCAGGCUGUCUCCACCCGAGACUCAGUGAAAUUGAACUCGCUGUGAAGAUGCAGUGUACCCGCGGCAAGACGGAAAGACCCCGUGAACCUUUACUAUAGCUUGACACUGAACAUUGAGCCUUGAUGUGUAGGAUAGGUGGGAGGCUU